GCCAGACUCCUACGGGAGGCAGCAGUGAGGGAUAUUGCACAAUGGGGGGAACCCUGAUGCAGCGACGCCGCGUGGGUGAAGGAGCGUUUCGGCGCGUAAAGCCCUAUCGGCAGGGAAGAAGGAGGACGGUACCUGACUAAGAAGCCCCGGCUAACUACGUGCCAGCAGCCGCGGUAAUACGUAGGGGGCAAGCGUUAUCCGGAUUUACUGGGUGUAAAGGGGGCGCAGACGGCAGCGCAAGCCAGGAGUGAAAGCCCGGGGCCCAACCCCGGGACUGCUCUUGGAACUGCGCGGCUGGAGUGCAGGAGGGGCAGGCGGAAUUCCUGGUGUAGCGGUGAAAUGCGUAGAUAUCAGGAGGAACACCGGUGGCGAAGGCGGCCUGCUGGACUGCGACUGACGUUGAGGCCCGAAAGCGUGGGGAGCAAACAGGAUUAGAUACCCUAGUAU
rnacentral:rRNA from 1 species